rnacentral:rRNA from 1 species
AUUGAACGCUGGCGGCAUGCCUAACACAUGCAAGUCGAACGGCAGCGCGGGGGCAACCCUGGCGGCGAGUGGCGGACGGGUGAGGAAUACAUCGGAAUCUACCUUCUGGUGGGGGAUAACCAGCCGAAAGGCUGGCUAAUACCGCAUAAGACCGAGAGGUGAAAGCGGGGGACCGAAAGGCCUCGCGCGAGAAGAUGAGCCGAUGUCCGAUUAGCUAGUUGGCGGGGUAAGAGCCCACCAAGGCGACGAUCGGUAGCUGGUCUGAGAGGAUGAUCAGCCACACUGGGACUGAGACACGGCCCAGACUCCUACGGGAGGCAGCAGUGGGGAAUAUUGGACAAUGGGCGCAAGCCUGAUCCAGCAAUGCCGCGUGUGUGAAGAAGGCCUCGGUUGUAAG